GUCUACAGUCAUAGCACCGUGAACACGCCCGAUCUCAUCCGAUCUCUGAAGCUAAGCAGAGCCGGGCCUGGUUAGUACUUGGAUGGGAAAAAGUUGGAUUAGGGCACAGAAUAGC
rfam:Erinaceus europaeus unplaced genomic scaffold scaffold00213, whole genome shotgun sequence